AUAAAGUUUAAUUCUAGUUUAAAGAUUUAUUUAAUUUUUUUUUUACAUGUAAAUUUUUGUAGGAUAUUAGUUAAAUUUUAAAAAUUUAAUUAGAAUAAUUUAUUCGCAGUAUUUAAUUUUAAUAAUUUAAGAAAUUAAGAAUUAGAAAUAAAUUUUAAUAUUAACAAAUUUUGUGCCAGCAGUUGCGGUUAUACAAAAGAUAUAAAUGAAUUUUAUUAGUAAAUAAUUAUAUGAAUUAUUGAUAAAUUAAAAUAGUAUUUAUUAGGUGAAAUUUUAAGUAUUAAAUUAAUUUAUAAAGAAGUUUUUAUUAUUAUGAAAUUUAUAUUUAAACUAGGAUUAGAUACCCUAUUAUUUUAAAUGUAAAAAGUUUUACUUAAGUAGUAUUAGUUAUGUUCUUGAAAUUUAAAGAUUUUGGCGGUAUUUUAGUCUAUUUAGAGGAACCUGUUCUGUAAUUGAUAAUCCACGAUUAACUUUACUUAUUUUAUAAAUUUGUAUACCGUCGUUAUUAGAAAAUUUUAGCAGAAAAUAAAUUUUUAAUAUUUUAAAUUAAAAAAUAUAUCAGAUCAAGGUGCAGUAUAUAUCUAAGAAGAAAUGGGUUACAAUAAAUUUAUUUAUAUGGAUUAAAGUAAGAAUAAACUUUAUGAAGGUGGAUUUAAUAGUAAUAAAAUUUAAUUAAAUUUUAUGAUUUUAGCUCUAAAAUAUGUACAUAUCGCCCGUCGCUCUUAUUAUAAGGUAAGAUAAGUCGUAACAUAGUAGAUGUACUGGAAAGUGUAUCUAGAAUGAA
rnacentral:ncRNA from 1 species